CCCCCACCCCCCCCCCCGCUGACGCCAGUAGGCCCGAUUCGGGAAGCUCGGCUGCCGAACGGGGAUGGCGGAGCGACACGAGGGCCGGAGAGACCCCACCGCGGUGGGCUCACAUCUGUCGGGCCCCGUGCGGUGCUGCUCCUUGGGGAGCGGGGGGACACGCGGAGCGCUCUGCGAAGCGGCACUGACCCUGUAAUGCGUAGCGCUAAUGACUACAGUCAAAUAAACCGGGUUUUCUGCUGCUGUUUGCCUUGUAUGUAUGCGCUAUGUGAGCAGACAGAGCUGUUCCGUCCCCUGUGGUUGGUUCCUACCUGUGCUAGGGCAGCAGAGAAUGCGAGGUAUGAUAAUAGCCUCCUAUUAAACUCAAUUGAAUUUCUUUUGUUGGCUAAUUUUCAUUUGUAUUUGCAUCAUUUACUGAAUUGCUCAGACUUACAACCUUAAACUGCGGGCUCUUCUUCUUGGGGGAGAAAGAAAAGGCAAAGGUGUGCUAACAUCUGUGUUAACGGGUAUUACAUUUCAGAUGGGUUAAAGCAGAAAGCCCUACUAAAACAUGAAUUUCUGUUUUGAGUAACAGCUGAAUCAGAGAUGCUUUGUUUCCGAAGAAUAAGGUUCUCCAUGGUACUAGCAUUGUCUUGGCCUAGGAAGGACCUGGAGCCUGCUGUUCCCCGUGCUGCAGGGUCCCCAGGCUCUCAAGAAAGGGUAAGGCUCUGCCAGCACGUCUUGCCUCCAUCCACAUGAUGAUAACGGGGAAUAGUUGGCACGCUGCUAAAAACAGAGAGGGUGCAACCCUGGAAUCCCCUAGCGAUGGUCACAUUGGGCUACGGAGACACAUGGAUGGAUGGAGGGAGGUUGGGAUCCUCUGACAGAUUGUCUCUGGAAAGUGGUGGGACAUUGGAAAGCAAGACUUCAGGCAAUUUAAGGGAAAUAAACAAACCCAAAAAGAUACUUAGUUCCAACCUGAAAUUCCCUGCCUUGUACCAUGACACCAGGGCUCAUUGCAGCAGGUCUUGAAACGGGCAGGCAGUUUCCCAGAAUACUGCGCUGGGAAGGGGAGGAUCUGGAAAAGGGGAACGGCUACAUUUUUGCUUGAAAGCCCUCACCUUAUCUCUCCUCUCCAAAAUCCCUGUAUAGUUGGAGCACGUUCAGUCCAGCACCCAAGCGUUUCAUCAAACCCCAGUUCUGGCUUUGAAUUCAGACUGGGGCUGGAACUGUUUACUGAAGCUGAAUCCCAGCAAAACAGCAGCAUAACAACGGUAAAACUGUCUCGAGAAAUACCAAGAAUAUUUUUUCCCUACUUCUGGAGCAACCCAGUGAUGUAAUACAAUGGUUUUCAGUGAUGGAAAUGGGGCUGGAUUUCAAAUGAUUUAGAAGCCCAUUCAAUAAGAGGUUGAAGCACAUGCUUAAGUCAAAACACAUGAGUGCACCAGAACUACUCAUGAGCUCAAAAGUAAGAUACCUGUUGCUGAGCUGGAGCCUUAGGGUACAGCUUGAAGUUGAGGCUAAACUAAUGUAGAGUUAGUGUUGCUGGAAGUGAUUGGUCCUCUCCUGGUUUUCUUCCCUGCAGUGGCUCACGCUGCAGUGAGACAAAUGCUAUUGGUACAACAACAAAUUGGAAGCAACACUGUUGCUUCCCCAGCAACAUGAAGAAGUAUUUGUCUUAUAAAAACAGGAGAAGUCUCAGUUAAUACCGAGAGUCAGUGGAGAAGUGCUGGAGCGAAUUUCUGUACUAACGUGAAGUCCAUGAUGGAUUUCAUGAGCUGCAGCCUGCUAGAGAAUGAAGUAAGGGGAACAAGUAUUUUCCUUAGGUUUAAUAUGUUGUGCCCAUUGGAUCGCAGCCUCUCAAUGACAGUCCAGCUUUUGACAGACGGCCUCAUUUAUCCUUGCUCAUACCCAGCUCUGCUCUGCUGGCAUUGUGCACUCCUGUAGGGCUUUUUUUGGGGGGUAGAGGUUGGAAUUAGCCUGACUUGAACAACUAGGCUGAGGAACACUGAACAGUAAAAUAAAGUCCUGAUGACAUAUUUGAACUCUUGUAGACCAUGGGUUAUCUGAUCUGCAAGGUCACUGCUAUUCUCUGGGAAAGUUUGAAAGAAUCUGCUCUCGUUUCAAGCUUAAAGGGCCCUUCUUGACAACAUGAGGAUGCAGAUUCACUUUGUCUGAACUAUAUGCAUAGGUGAAUGUUUCAGAGUAUUUACUACCUGUAUAUUUUUUUCUUUCCUUUGCAUUUAGAAGCUCAUCAAAGGCAGACAGCAUAGAGUUUGUUUUAAUAAAGAGAAAGAAAAAUUGACUCCGACAAGACUACCAAAACCAACUGAAAUGCGGGAAGGAAAACUGUCAUGUAAAAGUGAGAGACCUAAAAAGAACUUUAAAAUUCCUCUUAAUAAUUUAAACUGUCAGCAGCAGCAGAAAUCAGGAAUUAUAUUUCAGACGCAACUUAUGCCAGGCAUGUCUUAAAAAGGGAAAGACAAAGACAAAUUGAUAAUGCCUGAAGAGGCUGUCCCUGGGAAUAAGAAGUGCAGGGUUCGGCCCUGGAAAGCCAAGCAUCUUUUCCACUCUUCUGUCUGUAAAAGAGAGGAAUGAUGGUCCUUGGUCUUAGUGACUCUAACAGAUGCAGUCGGGGAAGCAGUAGGAAAAUAACAUCAUUAAAACUUCUGUCUUUCUGUAUUUAUGAAAAGUCAGGUUUGUGCCUUGCUCUAAAUGUUUGAGGCUAUUACAGUACAAAGAUUUGGUAUUAAUAUGAUUAGGUUAACAGUAUUUUUUCUGUAAUACGUAUCAUGAAGUCCUGUCAGAAUGAAAUUCAAUGCUAAAAACAUCAAAUAAUAGCUUUCACAGACCAUUAAUGCUUAAGGCUCCAGCGUGGGAGUUAUUAUUACAAAAGGACCCUGAAAUGCUGCUAGCUCUUACUCUUACAUCAGAAUAUACCUUAAGUUAGAGGUAUUUUCCCCCCAGGCUUUGUUUGCUCCAAUAUGAUGUAAGCUCUUGCUCUGACUGUUACGUUGGUAAACAGACCGGCUUAGCUUUGUGGCUGGGUUCUUGCAGUAAAGCCAGGAUCGUGGAGGAGGGAUUGGAGGGGUUGUUCCCAUCCUCCCACAGGGAUCUGAAUGCACAAACUCUUGGCCACUUCGUCCUUGCUGGCUGUGGCAGGCAAUCGCUCCGUCUUUUCCAGACCCUCCAUUGCCUUCGGUGGCGGUGCUGUGCAGCAGGAUGGGCGGCGGUGUCCCUUGUUGGUGUCCCUCAUGCCACCAUGUGUACUGCAGGGAGCAGUGAUGGUUCAUGCCCUCCCCUGAGGGACUGCAAGUUUAAUGUCCUUAAGGAACGUGUAGUUUAUGCAUACAGUGCUGUGCAUUACCCAAGCCAUUCAGAUUUCUCACCUCCCUGCAGGAAUGUGGAUUUGAAUCCAUUUAUUUGACUCCAGGUAGGUGGUAGAGUAUCUUGUGUUUUUCUCCAUGGGCUGAUCUUAUCUUGACAUAAGUCCACAGGUGUCCAUGAAGAUAUUUCAGAGCAGGAAGGAUUCAGUGCAAUGGAGUUAGACAGACUGAUAGCAAAAUGGGCGCUGGUGCCUUUGGUAGGAAUGCCUACUACUCUCCCUCAAUAAAAAGUUUAUGAUUAAUCACCAGAUUGAUUACAUUACCCUUUAAUUAAGAUCAUAAGUGCUGAAGAACUGGGACUUUGGUGUAGUUUUCCUUUGUUAUCUCUUCACCGUGGCUCUGCAAGUGUGACUUCUAAAUGCUUUAUCUGCCUAGGUCUGUAAUUUAUAGCCUGUAUUGGCCAUAAAAGAUCUUGCAUUGAUUUCCCCUUACUACAAUUGUUCCCACCCCUCUAACAGGGACCUGAGGUCACAUUCUUCCUUGCUAGUGCUUCCACAGCUGGAUCCAUUUUAAUGAAAAGCAAAAAUGUGGGUGAAAAUGUGUUGAUUUCAUUUAUAUAAGAAAGUUACCUUCCUUUUCCCUGGACCUGUUCCAUAGUUUUCCCUGGAGCUCUCAUACAGACACUUGUGGGAACUUCCACAGAAAGCUGCUGAUGCAGGCUGGGCAGCUGUCACAAGUGGUUUAUGGCCACUUUCCUCCUGAGGCAUUUGUUCUUCACAUAUCCAAAUCCUACAUUGGAUCCAGUCCUCAGUAAUGGGGAUGCUACUGCAGUGAGUGCAUCAGUGCUGAAACCCACCUGAAAUCUAAGCUGAAGCACCUUCAUAAGCCAUUCACUGCCUGGCAAGAGCCAGCCCCCAGCCAGAACAGGCUGAGACCUUUGAUGCUAUCAGUCUGGAGAUAAGGAGCAGAGUGGCCAGGCCAGCUGUUGGCUCUCACUGCAUGCCCGGUAGCCAGCCCUUAAGGCUCCUCACAGUGCUCUCAGGAAAUACCACUUUUUAACAUUUAGUUCAAGUGCAGACAGGCGUUGGAGUUGGGUAAGGAUGAGGCCACAGGUCUGUUACACCACUUUGGGGUCAAGUUUAGUACGUGGUCUCUGCCAGAUUUCAGCCACGCAGCCCAGGAACUCGGCUGGAAAUGCCACUCAGACACAGGCAUUGGUGCUCCCGUGCUUCUUCUCACCCAGAAAGCCGGGUCCUGGCCUCAGGCUGGAUCUUUCCUGCUCUUCCAGCGAGGGAAGCUGACGCAUUUAACGAGCCUUUUGCAUGCGCCAUCCCAGCUCCUCUUUGGAAGUCCUCUGCCCCCUUGCUCCAGCUGGCUGAGCCUCGCGCACCGUGGUUAUCUCAUCUCAUCUCAGUUAAGUGUUUCAGAUGCAAUUGCAUAUGGGUAUGCAGUUUCAGACUGGUUUCAAUAAUACGUAAUAAUAGUAAUGAUAGUGAUAACAAUACCUGAUGUUAUAGACGAGAAAAAUAAAACUAUUGUCUCAAAACAUAUCUGACAAGCAGUACAACGGUGUUACAUACUUGGAAGAGGGGGGAAUGGGAAUUACUUCACACGUUUCCCUCCCGUGAGCCUUGUCUAGCCUGCAUGUUACGUCGGGGAGACGGAAGCAUCUGCCUGAGAAAUGUGGCAUGAGCUCAGGUCGGGGCAACAGGCUGCCUCCCACACAGCCCAUUCAAAACGACGGCACUAUCAGAUGGAAAGAGGUUACAGACAUAGCGUAGUGUAUCAGUCUGUUAAGUAUCUUUGCAAUGGUUUCCCACAGCACUUCGCAGCUUGUUUAACGUAUCGCGAUUAACCAGUAAGCUCUGCAAGAACGUCUUACGGCCGCUGGAAAUACAAGAAGCAACCUCAAGGACCACAGCAGACGACAAACAUAAUAACGGACAGUAAGCCUGUAUCUGCUGCCUCUCCUGAAAGAUGCCCACGACUGGCAGGGUUCCAAAGUAUUGGAAGUUUAUUCCGAAUAUUUUUGUUUGAGAGCUUUCAGCAGCAGAGAUGUUGGUUGUUGCAGCGCGCCGGGUGAAACGUUGCAAAGCCACAAGGUUUCUCGCUGAGCACAGAAUAAUCAGUUAUCUGGCUGAUUCUGAGAAAAAAAAAAAAGUCUUGCUCGUGAACUGAGCGUAGCGAGAUCUUUCAGUUGAGUCUUUCUUCAGAUAUGACAGCUGGCAAAUGUCUUCUCCGGUGCGCCAGCUUGGCAAGAAAGUCAAACAGAGAAAACCAGCAUUUUUUAUUACACUUUUCACCUCCUCCUCGCCGUGCAUCUUUGCUUGUUUGCUGUUUGGCAGAGUUUGGCGAUUGCUAAUGGGAUUCGCCAACCUUGCAAGUGAGAAAGUUUCUCACCCUGUUAUCGAGAUCAAUGGUUUCCUCCAGUUCUAAUUGCAAAACACUUUCUUUAUCAUGAAAAUCUGAAAUUUCCAUAAAUAGCUUUCCCAAGGGCUAAGUAAGUGCUGAACAAAAACAAAAACAAAGGGAGAGGAAAUACAAUGAAAAUAAAUAACUUGAAUGCAAAGCCAUACCAAAGCCUGGAUUGUUUCAGGAGGAGAGUUUGGGAGGCACUGAGCACCUUGAGAGCUGAUCUGGGCACUGAUGAAGCUCAGCAUGGAAGUGCCAAAGCAUCCUACAAGCCCACUCAGAGCAGCCCGUCAGCUUUUCUUCUGGGGUCAGACUGUGACAAAGUCCAAGGCUGAUUCAACGCGGUAUUAAACCACGGGUUUCAGUUGUAGAGAUGAAGGAAAGACAAACUGGCAGAUGACAGAUAGCAGAAGUAUAUCUGAGGUGAAAUUUCUCGGUACCGAAAUGCUGGUAAACUAAAUGGCGCCUUUCCACAACUUAACUCCCCCAGAUCCAGAAUAGUUUACUGCGCGGGUCUCUGUCAUGCCAUAGAAACCUGACGUGCGGUAUGUCAGCAGUGAAGUAAUAUUGACAGACAAAUACGGCUAUUGUAUUCAUAAACGUUCGCUUUACAAAGCUAAGCACGUUGUAGCAAAAUAUCCUUAAUGCUAGCAUGAUAGACAGCAAUGUAAUCAUUGUCCUGGGUGAAUUGAGAACACAAACAAAAAUAGAUUAGCUAACAACUAAAUUGUAUUUAUCUUGCUUGACAGGGCUGGUUCAGUGAUGAGUCAUUCUCAGAUCUAAUGCCACCGCCAUCUCCAGUGUUGUUGGUAAUUGUUACUGCUGAGAGAAAAGGCUCUGACAGUCUGAAUGCUGAAGAAGCAAAGGAGCGCUAGUUUGCCUGGCGUGGGAGUGCUAGCAUUAGCCUGCCUGAGCCCCAGCAGAGGCAAUACACCAAUUAGCUGCAUACUUCCUUGAACUGUGCAGCUGGGGGCUCGGCCAGCUGGGGCCAUGGCAGGUCUGGUAGGGCUUUUAGGAGGGCAGAGUUGUUCUUCCAGGCAGGAUUGUGGCUGAGGGCCUGACACGUCUCCCACAUAAGCUGCCCCGUCCUCGUGCUGCUGCUGCUGCACAUCCCUCCCCAGCGCAGGCAGGGGUGAGAAGAGCCACAGCACAGAGGGCCCAUGAACUGCCACAUGAGCUCUGGGAAGCCCUGAGACACAGCCAAGGUGAUAUGCUUACAUGGUGAGGAGGAAACGCUGGGUGAGCUUCUCUGGGGAUUAGCAGCAUUCUACACUUCUGAUGGAGAGUAAUUAUCUUUUUGAAAACAAUUGUCAGAUUACUUUUAAAUAACAAAACUUUGCAAGGAGGUAGUCAGGUUCCAGGUAGAAACGUGUAAGGGAAAACAAAUAUUCACAGCAAGAACGGGCAUGAAAAAGAUCGGGCUUGAUGCUGAUCAAGUUCACAUCUGCUUGAAGGCCCAGCCCAAAGAGUGGUGGGGCAGCAGAGCCAAACUCAAUGGGAUGGCACGGCUGCCAGCCCCGUACAGGUGAGACCAAACUCAGAUCGCUAUCGUUUUGUGGUUUUCCUUUUUGCGUAUCGACAGGGAGGAAACGUGAAAGCCAUCAACUGUUGUGCAAAACAAAACACCCUGCCUAGGGUUGGCGGAGGCCGCCUGCCUGGGACUGCUGCAGGACAUGGCCACAGAGCAGGCCUCGAUUCAGGCUGCAGCGGGCACCGCGUGGCCUUGGGUUAGUUGUUGCCAGAGCAAAUUGGCCUGGUGGCUCCUGCACAGAGCCAGCCGGCCGUGUGCGACACCAGGGCUCAGCCAGGCAUGAAAAUAUAAAAUGAGAGAAUAAGUUAAACCACCACAUUCUUGGGGGAGAUGUUAAUGGGUGACAGCUAUCCCAUACCACCUCGGCCUCUGUUCUUUCAUCAGGAUCCAUUACUUAGUUUUUCUUUGUGUGCGCGAUGAUGCUUUCAUGAAAAACAAGCCUAUGGAAAUACUGAAUAGCAGUAGGUCAGAAGAAGUGAAGGAUGCAAAACUGCAGUUUUCCCAUGGCCUGAAAAUGACUCCCUCCCUGGCUUAGGGCAGCCACAGGUAUGCUGUUAAUUUUAAGUCCUCUUGCCAGAAGGCUAUAAAAUGUCUUUUCAUCUUACGUUACAUAAGUAUCCAACAAAUAAGAAGACUGUUAUUACAAAGGCAACCACACUGAAAAAAGGUUUCAUUUACUCUGAAAACCUGCAUUAAAAGACUUCUGAUGUCUCUAUGUAACGUUUAGGUUGCUGAGCACUUGGAGAGGAAAAUUCAUUGAAUUCUUCUUUAAAAAGAAAAAGGAAUUUAACCAGAAUCUGGGAUGCUACCAGGAACCACGUGAUUGAUCUUCAGUUAAGCAUUACGAUAACGUACUCUCUAAAGAUGAGUUCCCUUAGACUUCCAGCAUACCAGACAGCUUUCUGGAAAGCUAUGCUAAUAUUUAGCACCAAAUAACAAUCAAGCAUUCUAGCAAUCAUUCUGAACUAAACAAAACAUACAUCCAUAUGUCACAGAAGUGAAAACUGUGAGGUGCUAAAUGCAUCUUAAGAUGUGAAAAUACAACUUAGGCUGAGGAUGCUCAGGAAUUGAGAGAAAGUGCCCAGAAGACCCAGAAAGGGUCCUUAUAUGUUUCAUGGUCAAAUAAAAAAUUCUGCCUGGCUUCAUUGGUUGCUGAAUCAUUGCUUUGUAUUUUCAUAUGAUUUUCUCCAGGAAAAUAAAAUGUGUUUCUGUGAGAGUAAGAUGAAGACAUCGUGACAGUGAGGCACAGGAGGAUGCCUCUGCUAAGGGGAUUCAGCAGGCAUUCAACACACCUCUUAGCAACUAAGGAGUUCUUCCCAAAGUUGUUUAGUUGUAUUAAGUCCUUCCGCAUCCUCACAGGCUGGGAGGAACUGCAUAUAUUUAAGAUAUGCUCUAAGUCAGUUAACUUCCAGGCAGUAAGGAACCCUCACCUGCUCAUUUCACAGGGAAAAAAAAAAAAGCCCACAAUAGAAAACACCAUGUGCGUGUUGACAUCCUGCUUGUGAACCAAUAUUGUCACAAGCAAGAGGUGGGAAAGAGCAGGCCAAUUAAUGAAUGUGAACUGACUUACACUUAGCUAAAAUUAGGUACAAUAUCCUGUCUGAAGUUAUUACAAUUAACUAAAUAAAUACACCUUCUCAGUUAAUUAUUUUUGUAAUACCCUUGUGCCUAGAGGCCACAUUUGAGACUGAGAGCCAUCCGCACUAAGCGCUGCAUGCACACCCAGUGAAGACAGCCCAGUCUUGAACAGCUUGCUGUUCACAUAGAGGAAAAGGACUAAAGAACGAAAUCAUUCUUUAUUAUCUGUGUUACAGAAACAGACCUAGAGAAACCGAAUCCUCUUGCCCAACACCAUAUAAGAGUUAUUUGGCAGGACUCAGAAGCAAAGAGAGAAGAUGGGUACCCAAUUUAUUCCCUAGCACAAACAACAACGUCGUCUUUUACCAGAAGACUUCUCAUACAUGGGAUAGUUCUGGACUCUUGUUUCUCUACAUUGCAUUCAUUCUUUUUUGAAUGCAGCACAGCAUGUCAUAGCUAGAGCUGUUGAUUUCUCCUGGCUCCAUCCAUCUCACCUGUGUGAAACACAGCUAUUCUAUAAUGAUGAAUGAUGCCUUACUCGCAAAAAUUCAAGGCCUCAAGCUUACAUGUCUGUGAACAUACAGUUUCUGUUGGCUGCUUUCAAUUGCUUGAGUUCACAUUUGUCCUUCCUCAAAUCUAGAUACAUUACACCAUUACACCUUUUUGUAAUGAUGAAUAAGCUAUGUAGCAAAAACCUUUAAAGUAUAAUGGCAAGGGGAGUAAAUGUGUUUUUUAUAUAUAUGUAUAUAUAUCCAGAAAUAGCCUGUUCUUUCAGGUUAAAGUGGCUGUCCAGUAUAGCAUCACCUCUUGGAAAUAAGCCCCAAAAACUUACUUUUCUAGCAAACACUUUGUCUUCAAUAACUAAGCUACUGUUGUCACCAUUAGCAUCUCCUGAACAGUUUACACCACAUACUUGUGCACAUAGGAAAUAAAAUCAUCAAAGCAGAAACUGAACUGCUUGCUGGCUCCUUCUGCCUGCUGAAGAAAAAGGUUUAGACAUCCACAGAAAUACAGUGUGGCCGGUGUGUGGUGACUUGACUCUGUUUUAAGAGACCUCCUGCAGUGACAUCAUCCAGCAUCACAGCUCUAAAGCUUUGGCCUUUCCCUCCUCCGACACGAAGCAGUGCAGUGAUGUGACUAGCAGACACUUCUCAAUGUUUCUUUUCUCUUUAUCUGCUGAAAGCAGAUCUCAUAAGGAGACUGAAAAUCAUGAGGUUUUGAAGUGCUAUUCCUACAACUUUACCAAAGAACCUCAAAUUCGUGAACCAGGCUUUGACGGAUACAUUCUGCAGUCAAUCAGCUAUACUUGUGGAUUUGAGAAGGUUUGAAAAUUUGGCCCAAAAUAAAUGGUCUGUUCUUCUUGUAAUCUUAACUGUGGAGUUAGUGUAAUGAAUCAGCAAAGAAAAUUUAUUUUUCCAGCAGUUUAGCUAUUAAAUAUGACUUUCUGUGAGUCCUUGAGGCUGCCCAGAGCUUCCAACAAGUCAACCUCUGUGCCAUCUUCCCAGCCAUAAAAUUGUUUUCUGCUUCUUUGCCAGGCUGAAUGUUCUAGGAAAAGCCCAACAGACAAAUUACAGAUCGAUGAACAAAACAAUUAUUUUUCCCAAAUAGCCACAUGCCUGAAAGAAAAUCUUUCUUUAAAUAGCAUGGAUGUAUAAUUUGAAUUCAUUCAUAUUUUAUAGUUCCGGAAUAUUUGUUUACCUGAAACCCUGCAGCUUUCAGAACCAUAUUGUAAAGCAAUGAAAAAGACCAGCGGCAUUGGUGGCCUGGGCAUCUUCCUUUCUGAAGUUUCCUGGCUGACAGCAUGAAAAAAAAAAGAGUCCUCUGUGUUUGAUGAAUGCAAGAACCAGGUUUGUAAGCAUGGAAAGAGCCUUUAGAAACACAAGUGAGGUUUUUAUCCCUGGCCCCAGUGUCAUCCAUCUUGGAAAGCUUUCUGUUUUUAUUAUUUUAAACAGGUCAGCAACAGUAAGAUGGGAAACUAGAUUUCAAAACAGAUGUCUCUGCAGCGCUUCAUCAAAACAUUGUAUGAUUUCAGACGGAAAUUUAAUAUUGGAUGCCUUGCACAUUACCUAACCUGUUGGGGAUAUGAACCCCCAGCCUCUGAAACAGCAGCACCCCUAUUUCAGCAGCCGUGCUGCUUUGUCCCAUGCCAGCUCAUCACACAGAGGCUGGAUGAGGCUCCAAGCACCCUAAUCUAGCUGUAGGUGUCUCUGUUCAUUGCAGGGGAGUUGGGAUAGAUGACUUUUAAAGGCCCCUUCCAACUCAAAUGAUUUCAUGGCUCACCACACACCUCCAGCACCCAGCUCUUGCAGGUUGGGGCUGGGGGUCUCUCCACUUUACUGCUCCCCACAGGGCACAGAUUUUGGUCCCCAACACCAUGGCUAGUCCCUUCACAUCUGGGGUACAGCCCAGUAGCUGUUUUUCUCUCUCCUGUGCCUGUGGAUGGCAGAAGCACACUCUGGCCCCCCAUAGCACUGCAUGCCGACGCUCUGUCUCUAGGAAAGUAAUUUGGGAAGAACAACAAAGACUUCUUCAGAGAACUUCCUUGCAGAGAAGGUUGUGGUUGUCUUGCUAGCUCUCAAAAUUAAAACUACGUUUCAGUCAAAAAAUGCCUAUUCAGACUGACAUCAAAGGGAAAAACGUGAGCAGGUCAAGGAGUUUAAUUUCCACGGCACUCGUGAUUCACAUGUAGGGCUCGGUAAUGACUUACUGCCCACUGGCAAAAGAAAACUGUGAAUGAAGAGAGAAGUGAGGCAGACGAACGGCGCGGUGCCGCUUUCAGCCAGCAGUGCAGUGCUGUGGCCCAGCUCUUCAUCUGCAGCAGCCUUGGUGAGGAUGGCAGAGAUGCCCCUGCCCAAGGGUGUCACCCCAGGUGCCCCCCGGUGUGCUGGUGCCUUCACCCCCUGUCACCCUCUAGAGAGCAGGUUCCUUUCAGACACCUCAAGCCAGAAACAUUUGGGCCCUUCUGAAAAGCUGGGUCUCAGGCCGUGCAUCUCAAACCCUGCUCUCAUACCAGCAUUUAAACCUUUAGAUAUCUCCAGUUAAGGUGAAGGACUAUGUCUCAAGGUAUGAAGGCGGGAGGUAUGUAAACCUUUUAACAGUGUCUGUAUGUUCUCCUACUACUCCUUAUUUGCUUUUCUCAUGGGACGAUCCAACAAGGCAUUACAGGCUGUUGAUAAAUAGAUUUUCAGCCCAUUUCGUUUAACCAUUACUGCAUUUCCAUAUCAAAGAUUUUACACUUGGCAUGCCCAAGCCUAUUUUAUUUGUAAUCUUUUCUCAAAUGAGAAGUUUGGAAUGUUUUUUCAUUAUGUGUUUCAUCUGCAGCACACUGCCUUGGUGUUAUUUUUGAGAUGAGAUCUUUUACUCUACCUCGAGUCAUUCUACAACUCGUCGGCUUUUAUUUAUUCUGGCCUCCCAAUCUAACAGAAUUUCUGUGUUGAAACUUGUUGCUAUUUUUUUCCAGGGAUACACCGUACGAUGUUAAGCCUGUGCUGUGUAUCAAAGUGCAAAUAUAAACUAGUUGAUAGUCUCUGGUCACACCCUGGUAGGUGUGGCAGUUGGGAAUUUUUCACUUUCUGGCUGGAGAUCAGAAUGUGCUUAGCAUGGUUCCCCAUCCAGCAUCUUGGUCGGGAGGGGACUGGCUGCCUUCUGCAUGCAUGUUGUUUGAAGGGUUGGGAGCCACAUAGUUGUACCACUUCCAAAAGCAGAUUUUUACUUGUUUGGCUAUAUUUAGAGCUGCAAUCGGGAGAUCUGAGGGUAUGAUAAUCCAGUGCCUCACUGUCUUUCUCCUUCCUCUCGUUCUUUCUCCCUGUCACUUUGGGGGUGAGAGGAUGGACCAGCAUAGCUCUAGUGUCAGCCUCCAGCAUGGUGCAGAACUGCGCUACUCCAAGAGAAACUCCAAGGAGGAAGUGUGACUCAGAGAGCUGCAAUUCCUUCCACGGUUCCUCCUUGCUCCAGCCGGGGAAGUAAGUUACUUCAAUAUUUGUGCUGCUAGAGUACAGCUUGCUUCCGCCCCGCUGCUUGCAAGCCCCAGCUUGCAGAACGCAGAGAGAGAAUGCUCUGAGCCAGAACCUGCAAAAGGUGGCUUGCCUCCUUCUGCUCCUUGGCUGCCCAUGUGAGACAGGGACCAGUCCUGCCCUAGAUGAGGUUUCACUGCAAGGAGUCACCUCAAAGCCAUCUGCCUAAACUGGCCUUCCAGUCAUUCUGCAGAGAUGCACACCGCUGGCUGUCUUGUCAGGCAUCAUUUACAUUAAUAUCACAAACAGCACACUACCUGUGAGACGACUUCACGCUGUCUUUUUCUACCUAGAUUGCCCACUUUUCUGCUCCAUUUUCAUAGUCUUUCGUACAAUUAGACAAUCCCUAUCAGAGUAAUGCACAGCUCACCAGACACUUGCCUCUCAGAUAAUCUAUUUCCCACUGACUUAUUUUCCAUCACAAUUAUUCAUUAUUAUACCCAGAGACUGGCAAAGGAUUUGCAGGUAAUAAUUCCCUUGCCAAAACAAAAACGCUAAUAAGGGUAUUUGUAGGGAAACAUUCAUAAUCAGUGUUUCUUCAUUUGGAGUGCAAUCGUAAGGCCCAAGAACACCAACUGGUAUGUGACUUAUUUGCAAACGAUACAAAGGACUCCUCACCUGCCUCACAUACUGCUUAGCAGCAACACACUUUGGAAAACCAUAUGAAGUUCAUAGCUUUUUUUACACACACACACACACACACACACACACACACACACACACACACACCUCUUCAUGCAGAAAUACUGCACUACAAGGAGACCUUUCACUGGGGACACUUUAAAGACAUUCUGAUAUGACAGCCAAAGGUUGUGUUAACUGAGACAGUGUCAAACAAGAGUAGAUGAUGAUGAAUACUUCAGUGAUGCACAGGUCUGAAAACUAAAAAAGGUCAGAAAAACAAGAGAGGACAAAACUCAUCCAUAAGCACAUCAACUAGAUGGUCCAGGUAGGAAUAAAACCACCAUGCUUGUUGCUGUACCCUCCAAGGUUACCAGGGAGAGGUUUUCAGGAAGUAUUUUGCAGUUAAAAAAAAAAGAAGAGUAAGAAUCAACUUGAGAAAAUAGGUCCGUUCCUCACAUGUUCAGCAGCACAGAAAUGCACACUCGUAUACACAAUCAUAGUUCCUGCCUGAGUGAUAGCAAUCUCCAAAAUAGCCCCUGAAAGAAGAUUCAGGCUAUUGGACCAGCUGCUGCUUUCAGUGAAGUGGUCUGAACAUAGGUCUGAAUCCCACUCUAUGUGGGAUUUUGUGUACCAACAUGUAUAAAGCUCAUCCUUGUGUUAGAAGAUUUGAAUGGCACCAGUGCUAAUUCAGCUGUCCACCUGGCAAGCAUCUAGAGAGACACACACAGAAAGAGAAGCACUACUCAUUUGAGUCUUCACUCCUAGACUGAAAAUAACUGAUGUAAGUGAAGCGUGCAGUGCAAGUGUGCAAAAGUUACUUUCAUUUUGCACCAGUAUAUUCAGGAAUUUUAAAUAAGCUCAGUUAAAAUGAUCAGUUGAACUACUUUGACAGUGUUGUAAGAAAUCCUUAUGUGGCUAAUUCUUAAAUGUCAUCAGACAGCAGACCAAUUGUGCUCGAGCGCACAUUGUUACCCCAGGUAGCAGAUAACUUCCUGUGUUGAAACGAUGGCUUGAGAGCGAUAUACUUGCAGACAAGGAAAUAUCAUCUUCCAGUCCUGCUGUGUCUUAAAGUGAUCUACGAGAACUCUUUCUAGCUCGGUGCCUGUGUUUAGCCAAGGUAUUAGACGCAUUCAGGAUGUAUUAAACUCAUACACCUUCUAAAUUACAUGAUACAUGGAGUUCACACAGCUAGCUAAUUCAGUCAGAUGUGUAGUGCUAACAAUAACCAAAUAUAUCCAAUGUUACUUGUCUAGCUAUGGAAUAAAUAUGCUUGAUGGUGCUUAAUUAUACAGAUAUGUAAUGGGCACCUUCACCGCUUUCUAUAGUUAAAAUCCUGUUCCCAAUGCUUAGUAAUAUGGAACAACACUUUUGAAGUGGAGGAAUACUUUGGAAUAAAAAUCAUUCCUAUUUCACACUUUGGCACUCUGAACACAUAAUCCAAAAAUAGGGGAACGGAACCUUCAGCGGAUCAAAUCACGCACAGAACAGAAGUAUACUGGAAAUAAUUCCAUAAAGUCAACUCCCAGGACAAUGGGAUCGUCCCCAGUAAGUACUGCUUCAGCAACACUGGCUGAAUGAUUCACUGUGAGCAAUUCAGUGAAAAUAUCAGUGUUUUGUACAGCCUUCCUUUUUCUUUUUCUCCACGUUCCUCUUUCUCUUCCUCAUCUUCUUUUUAACCUUUUCUACCUCCCACCUUCUGUUGCCGCACAUGCAAGACCUAAGGAGCUAAAUGAACACAUACACAAGAAACAGAUGACAGAGCAGAUUGGCAGAAUGAAACAACCCAUGAGUAUAGAAGAUGGUAAAACAUCAAUAAUCAGUAUUGACAUCAGACAUUAUCAAAGAAAGGGUUUAUGCCCUGCAUUGUUUCAGUUCCUGAGAACGCCUCUUGCCUUCCACAUUGUAAAAUAUAGCCCAAACAAAAUGCAGCUAAGAAAAAGGGAAAAUUCUUCUCUACAUAGGAUUUAAUACUGCACCCAUCACUGCAGUAUCUGAGAGCAAGAUAUUCUAUUGCGGGCGUGGUGCAAAGUUCAUGGAAUAUCAAGUGUUGGUAAUCUGUGCUCUGAGCCUGUGAAUGUACGUGCAAAUGGAUCAGAUCCACAGCUGGCAUCUGUCUGGCUCCAGAUCUGGUCCAGUAAGUUUCUAAAGAGUAGUUCAAGACAGACCAUUGAAAACUUCCAAAGAAAGUCCCAGAGCACAUGACAGAAAUGGCCAAGUGGGACAGCACAGUAGAAGAAAGAAAUCCUGUGGGUUCAUUUCUUUAAAGCAUAAAAGUCAUUAAUCAUUUCUAUUCCUUUCCAUUCAAAACAGCUGCCUGCCCACAUUUGCUAAGUAACUGCUUUCCUAACCACACAGAAACUAGGCUGCGGGCCCCAGAAUGCUCAUGCUUCCAGAUAUUAAUAAAUAUUUCCCUCUUUCACUGUGUCAAUGAGAGCACAUUAGCAUCCUCAGCAUCUGGUUUUAGUCGUGAAAUAAUAUGUUAAUGUCUCCACACUUGGCGAAUUCCUUCCAAAAAAAAUCCUUCUUAGUGCUUAUCUUUCAGCUGAGGCUUCAGAAGCUCAAAAGCGUGGCUUGAAAACCUCAGUGGCCUUCUACCUGUGAUGCAGGACAGCACUCUUUGUCAAGUUAGAAAUGAUCUCUUUGAUCACACUCAUUUGUUUGUCUCCUCAUAGAGCUGAGUUACGCUUCCCACGUGAGCCCUUCGCUUCAAAAAGUCCACUGUCAUCCCUACAGGCUACUGCAAUUAGUGAAAUGCCAGCCAGCAGGUGGAGACGCAUGAAAGCAAUCUCAAUUCAUAGACAGGCUGCUUUGACAUUUCAUUCCCAUAGCCCUGGCCAAGCACUAGAGCGGGCCAGAGCCAGAGAAUAUAGCUAUUGGUUUCAUGGAAAAGUUCAGAAUUAAAAUCUUGGCUGGCUGACAAACAUGUGACAGAGCAGCUUCUCCAGCAUGACUGCUGCACACAAAGCCGCACUGGCGAGCCGUCCCGGCAGCACCUUUCAUGUACAACGCAGGGAGGGGAGCCCGCUGCUGCCUUCCUCCUGACCUCGCCUCAUUCACUCUGCUCAGCAGUGCCGAGCUGUCAGCAUCAGCUGUGCCGAGCCAUACGAGGGGCCACGCAUGCCAUGCCUUGUGUGCUCACGUUUGGCCUCGUGCAGGGCGAGGGUGGGCUCUGGUGGCUCAGCACCCAGAUGCGUUCCCACCUAUCUGCUGUGGAAGCUCAGCCCGAGAUGGCACGAAACGGCUUCGCUUCCUCUGCUCCUCUCCUAACUCCUCCCACCCAGCGCUUCCUCUUUCAGAGUGGAAACAUCAUUGUAAUAGCUAUUUCUGAAACGUCCCUGCCAAAAAUCAGGAAGCACAGAGGAAUACUUCAGGGCGAGGAGGGGGAAAAGGUAUCUCGCGAGUUAUUUCGGGAGUAGGGAAUUUGUUUACAUUAGUUUGGGAGGAAAGCCGAGGCUAAUCCCGUGUUGUCUUCAGACCAAUCAUUACGUUUCCAGCUCAAGUCUCUCCGUGCUUUAGGAACUAAACUCUCUAUGCUUUUAGAGACGUGGUUUAACGGGCAAUACUGGUGGCAUGUGGGUGGUUGGACUAGAGGAUCUGAGAGGUCUUCUCCAACCUUAAUGAUUGUAUGAACUGUAAGAAGCUGCAGAAGUGGGUCUGCAGAACACCACACGUGAAUGAGUCAUCUCCAGUGGAAGUACGCCUGUGAUGGGAGCUGUGCCUAAAUGCUGUGCUGAAAUAAAGCACGUGCAUGGAGAUGAAGAAGGAAGGAAGGAGACGGUGCAAAAUUAAUAAAGCUUAGAAUCUCAGCAAAAAUCUGCAAGCGCUUUGAAUCAUUUCAGUGUUUGAACACAGCAUACAAACAAACAGCAUUCAUCGUGAAGAUACUGAAAACAGUGACCCGCUCCGCAGGUUCGGACCCCUCAACACUGUAAUAAUCUGUGGUGAGUUAUCAGAGCUCCCUUGAAUGAGAAGGACGCUUCAAACCUUGCAAAAAAAAAAAAAAUCAACUUCAGUGCUUCUAAAGAAAUGCAUUUUGCAGCUUUUUCCACUCUUUUGGAUUCUUCUCCUCCCCCUUCUACCUCUCUUGCACUCUUCUCCUUGGAGAGCAGAGUUUAACAUGCCAUUGAGGAGAUAGCCUGCAUGCAAAGUCCCUCAAACAUAAACACACUUAAAGAACAGAUUCAUCACAGCAGGCUUCCAAAUGUGGAAACCACAUUCCAUCUGCACCCUUAUCCAAUGGUCAUUAGCUUAGAUCUUGAAUGGACAUUACUUAAAGCAAAGAUUAUAAAAACAUACAUACUGCUCAACAGUGAUUCAUCAGCUUCCAAGCUCUGCAAUUGAGCUCAGAGUGACUCAGGCUGGGGACUUCUGGAAUGUGCUGCAGGAAUUUGCUGCACUGAGUCUGCAAAGCUGCCUUCAGAUGGUUUCUCUGGCAACUCAGGACAUUUCAUUGAACUCAGGUAUUCUGCAUUUGUUGUCCUUGUCAACAUUUGUGAUAAAAAAAACUCUUGUUAAGACCCCAGCCCUGAUUUUUCUGCUCAGGUUUGCAGCACUGUAACAUCAGUGACUCCUGUGCUGCCAGCUCUGCAGAGGGCUCAGCACCCACAUCAGCACACUGCUCAGGAGCUACGGAUGACAAUGGUCUCACAUACACAGCCCGGCGAUAAGGCAAGUUAUCACCACUAUUCCUUGACCUAUUUUUUAGCUUGUAAAUGACUGGGCCUAAACUCUCUGCCACAAACUGAAGACAUUGUUUAAUCUAUUGCAUAGGAUUGCCUUGAAACAGCAUUUAUCUGAGGUGACUCACAGAUAGUUCUGAUGACAGAUGCUUUCUCUGGUUUUCUGCAUGCGUGAACAUAUGUAACUCUGUAUGUAUAUACACACACACACACAAACAUGCAGUGAUUCACUUUCACAAAACACCCUGUGGAUUCCUUCUACCCUUUGAGGUCUAUUUUUUUAUUUUUAAGAAUCACUGUUAAUUAAGCUAAAGUUACUGAGACGGGGAAAAAAAGUUAGCAAGGUUACUCUCUAUGGAGCCACCAAAGGCAUUAGGAAUAACAGACAGCUUAUUAUUUAGGGCAACAGCGUAAGGGUGCAAAAGGAGAAUCGAAUUCAAGCACUGAACUCUAUGGACACAUGUAUUGGUAUAUUCUCAGUAGGCUGCUUACUUCUACAUGAUGUUUCAGUUCUGUUGUUGUUGUUGUUGUUUUUAAGCAUAAGGACAAUGCUUGACAGCCUUUUAAGAGGAUAACGAUAAUAAUAAAUCUAUGAAUAAGCACAUUCUGCUGACACGAUAGUGUUGAUGAUUUGCUCAGAACUUACGCAGCUCACAUCCCUUAGCCAGACUUGCUAUUGGACAUGAUUUUGGUCCCUGCCUUAAUCAAUACUGUAUUGCAGAUGUCUCAAAAGGCUGGUCUCUGUGGCACCUACUUGAACCCUAUGAGGAUCUAAUUCCAGUUACAGCAAUACAAUUGAAGUAAACUAAAGACAUAAUCCCAGAAAAACAAUUGGGUUAAAACACCAAAAUACUUACAGCAUUGUAUUUACACCUAUUAGACGCAUUAAAGAAGCAAUAAGCAUUUGCAGAAGUAUCCCUUUGAAAGGUAUUUUGAAAGCACCUAACUUGGCUACAGGCUCAACAGCGAGCUGUGAAUAUUUGACAUCUACUUCCAUUAAGUACCACUGAGGUGUUUAUUCACUGCAAAGUAAAGUUUGCUAUAAAUUUCAUUCAACCUGAAGUGCAAUUGCGUGUGUUUGCAGAUCCUUCUAUUUCAUCCUUAAGAGUUUCACAGGUCACAAGGAUGCAUCUUGUACCUGUAUACUAAUGACAACAUUUGGUUUAUGUUAUAAGCUUCUCUUCCCACAAGUACUUGGUGGUGUCGUAUAGAAUGCACGUUCCCAUAAUCAUUUCAUAUGUUUUCAGUCUUAAAAAUACAGUUUAUAUAAUGAAAAUACAAUAUAAUUAUACACAUGAGAGUUCUGGUUUGGAAGAGGUUCAGCAGAAUUCUUUGAUAAAACAAGUCCCCCAACCACAAAAGCUACAUACAGUGAUUUGACAGUCAAACAUAUAUAAUCACUUAUGCUAAAUUAAAGGCAGCGUCACCACGUUAGAAGCAGCACAUUUAAAUCCCUUAUGUCAGUUUUGGCCAACAAGUGACAAAUGCUGCAGAUCAGACUAAACGCAUCCUUGAAUAAACUUGGAGCAGCUUUUGAAAUAGGUGCUUAGCAUGAACAGUUAUAGACAGAAAUGAGAGUGCAGAGGAUAUGCUUAUACAAAGUUAUUUUAUGAUGAUACUAAUUGAGCUCCUUUAUACAGCAUCAACAGCUCAGACCCUUUUUUUUGUUCCACACCAAUUUCUAGCACUUGGAAAUGGACAGUAUCAGGGUACAAAGCGCAGAAGUUCAUCCAAAAUUAUCAUGUUAGAAAGGUUAGUGAAGAUAAACUCCUUAAUGUUUAGGUAGGAUUUUCCAUUUGCUGCCCCUUGCAGUACCUCUCCCCAGAACACACAAACCCAUUUUCUCUCUACCAAAAGUGCCUGCUUAGAGUUCAUGGAUAAGAUCCUCCGUAGAUACCAAGUUUUGUAUUUCCACUGAGAGUAGCAGGAUGAUGCUGAUUUACACCAGAUAUGGAUCUGGUUCGCAGCAUGUUCCAGUGUGAAUUCACAGAGCAUGGAGUAAUGUGAAACAAGGAAGUGACUUUUGUGAAAAGCAUUUUGGAAAGGAAAACCAAAAAUGAUGGAUGUACCACUGGGGCAGAGGGAGUGGAGCCUGCCUCAAAGAGGACCUUGUAGAGCUGCCAACCUUCCCACAAAAUGUGCUGCUGCUCUCAGAAAGAAGGGGGAGGUUUCCCCGGGACAAAUGCAGCCACACCAAGCACCCUAAUAACUACUCUGUAGAUAUUUUUAUGUACUAUCACAUCAAAACCAGGCUGAACUUCCAAAACAUUUGAAUUCAACCCAUCACUGAUUAAUGGAAGGAGGAGAAGGAGAAUGGGUGGGAAGAAUAGUCAUUGUGAACUGCCAUAACACUGGGCAGUAAGCCAUGCUAUUCAACAAAUGAGACAAUACAUUAAAAAAUAAAACUUUGUUUUCAGGGACCUUCUAUAUAUAUCAAGAGCUUGAUUCACAGACCACUAAAGUUAGUGGGAAUCUUUCCUUUAACCAGCUACUUACUGAUCAAGCAGCUACAAAAGAAGAGUUAAUACAGUUUUGCACUUGCUCAUUAUCUCAAUAUUAGAAAGUUACAAGGUUGAAUACAACAUCAACAGUUAGCAACUGACUGUAACUACUCAGAACACACCAUCAUUUUGCCCACUUGUAUGUACUGCAUUUUACUGUGGAAGCUGUUAGCAUGAACCAACAUAUGGAGAUUAAGAUUUAACAGAGGACAGAAAACAUGAACACUUACAAGAAAUAAUAGUUAACAAUUUACGUUCCAUCUGGCAUUUAAAGCUCUACAAGCAGUAUUAUUUGAAGGAAAAAAAAACUGAUUUACUGAUUUUCAAAUACUGCAUACCUUUUUAUAGCUUCUUUCUGUUUCUUUGCCCUCUGGAAGCAAUUAGUUCAAUCAUAUUAUAGUUCUUAGAUCUUCAGCUAUGUGACUGACCAUACUACCAUUUCAGUUAAAUAUGCAGCAGAGCCACUAGCCCUUUGUGAGGAAAAGGAUUGUUCAUUUCAAUAGGAGUUUAGAGUGAGGAUAGUAAAUCAUCUUCUUCCUGAUCCAGAUGUGCUAACAGAGGAGGUGACCUUCCUCCUUUUAUCAUUACUUUGCUGGAGGUCUUGCCCCCACCAGUCUGCUGACAGAAAAGGCAAGCAGUAUCAGGAUUUCCAAAUUACGUGAGACUUAUCUGUGCUAAGUUAAAUUCUUGACCUAAUUCUCAAUCAGGAAAAUUAGUUUCUCCUGAGGUCCAUAAUCACUUUUACUAAAGUCAGCUCAUCAAGAAAGGCUGAAUUGUGAGGAUACCUAGGGACAGCAUGGUGUUUUCAAAGGGAAGAAGAGUAGCAGCCCACCCAAGACACAUUUUGAGACACAAGGAAUACUAAACAAUAUGAGAUAGCUCAAAACAUCCAGGCAGUAUGACAUACAAGACCUUUAAAUGAGGUAAACAUAAUUUCUUUAAAGGCUGCCACGUAACAGAUGCUCAGAUUGAAAUAACCUAGCUGGUUUUGACAAAAAUGCAUUAGAAAGCCUUUGCCUACAACGCCCUGCUGAUGGGUAGGUUAAAGGAGUAACUUUAGUAACAGAUAGAAGCUUUCUUCAUCUAGGGUGUUUUCUAUCAAUAGCCUUAAUGUUAGCCAUUGAAGUUAAUGAAAACAUUUAUCUCUCUUACUCAUUAAAUACAUUUUGAUGUAACAUUUUUAGCCACGUGAGGCACAGUGCAGUUAAAGGGUUAGGUUCCCAUCAUAAAGGCUUGUAUGUCUCAUUCACCCUGCUCUUCUCUGCCUUCCAAAAGUCUUUUCAAUCACUGCUGCUCUACCUUGAAAGUACUUUGCAGCUGGAACUAUAACUUUACUUUCUGAUAAACAUGUAGCGCAAUGUUUGUUGGUGAAGAG
ensembl:lncRNA